GCUUACGAUAGGUUGGUUCUGUGCGACUUUUGAAUUGUUUGGAAGGAGUGCGAUGAGGGCUGCUGUAAACAGGCUGACCGCCGUGGUCUGCUGGACCUCCACUGGUACCAUCCUCCCAGCCUGUCAAUGCUGAAAGACUUCACAGCUGACAUGGGUCAAGCCAGCAAACCUCCCAAAGCAUCCUCAGCAGAGAAGAUUCCCCAGAGGAAGCCUGCAGCACUUCCUGCCCAUGUUCUCCACUUGGUGGUACUGUCUACAUGCUGAGUAUUAUGGCCUGAAUGGCGCUUCCAUCAUGGAGUCAGUUGUGCUAAAAUCUGGGAGCCCAUGAAAGUCUGGGGCCUGUUACAAAUGUAAUAAAAAUGGUACAAUUGGAUCAAAUAA